AUGGGGAAGCGAAGCAACAGGCGGUCCGCGGCGCAGGACGACACCAAUGUCGGCUGCGUCUGGGGCCUAAUGCGAAUGGUCUAUUUCCGCCGCGACCCCAGAUUCCUGAUGGACGCGAAGCAGGCGGGCGGGAGGCAUAAGCUCCGGGAGAUCACAGACGGAAGGGACUUGGGGAAGAGGCCUCGGGAUUUUGAGGAAAUAGAAAAAGAUGAUAACAUAGAAAACGGCCCUUUGCAGCAACCAACCGUCAAAAAACUUAUGGAGGACGAAUUGGGGCGUGUGAAUCUUUUGAGGACAGUUCCAAACAAUGAGGUUCAGAGAAGAUUGGCUCAUCUGGGAAAUGAUCUAUCUCUUGAUAGAAAUUCAGAGCAUACAAAUAACACAACACGAACUUUAAAUGACAGCACGGAUAUCUCCGUGUCUCGUUUAUCUGGAUCAGUGGAUUCUGAGGGUUCCAAGAGCUUGAACCACAGUGAAUAUGAUCUCGAAUCUGUCUUGGCAAGCUUCUUAGGUGAGAUUUAUAGGUGCCACAAUGAAUGUCCACAUGAUGAUUGCAAGAGUAAUAGUGAAUUGUGUCCUUCAUUGAAGUCCCUAAUCCAUAAGAAGCUUAAUGACUUAAGCAAUCUUCAAUCCAAUAUUGAUUGUGAGCAACCUCAAGAGAGCAAGGGAGAAAAGCUACUGGGUGGUAAUGGCAUUUCUAGCAGCAGGACAGUUCAGUCCAAGGAAUUCAAGGAUGCACUGGAGAUACUGGGUUCGAACAAGGAACUUUUCCUGAAGGUGCUUCAGAAGCCUAAUUCACAUAUGUUGGACAAUAUCAGAAACCACCAAAACAGUAGAUUGACAACCAAGUUAGAGCCCAAUAAAAAUCUUGGAGAAACUAAUUCCCUUGAAGAGACAAGAGGCUCAAAUCAUGACUUGUCUGCACCGGCACAGGCUAAGGAGAGCAAACAUAUGUUCUUCUGGAGGAAAGACAAGUCGAAAAUAAAGCAGAUGCUGCCAGAAGGAAUUAAUGGAUCUCAGCCUGUUAGCAAAAUAGUUAUUCUGAAGCCAAAUCCAGGAAAAGGAAUUGAUCAGACAGUGACAAGCAGUGCAAGAUAUUUACAUCAGCAACCUAGUACCUCUCAAACUCCAGAGUACAGUGGGAGGGAAACCUCAAAAUUUUCAAUCAAAGAAGUCAGGAGGAGAUUCAGAAUUGUGACUGGUGAGACAAGAAGAGAAAGAAAUGCAGCACCUGCAGACGACCUUCAAAGAGUUUCACGUUGGCAUUCCAUGAUUGCAACGAAGAAGAGUUCUGGGUAUCACACACAAGGGAGCUUGGCAGACAAAUCUGCAUCAAAUUUUAAGAACGACAUCGCCAGACCUUCAACGAGCAGCAAGCAAAAGCAACAAAAUGGCAGCGAGACUGAAAUUAGUGGUCGUAUAGCAGUGCCACAAGAUGAUUCUAUCUUCUACAAGGAGGCUAAGAAGCAUUUAACAAAUAUGCUAAAGGAUAACAAUAAGUCCGGCAACUAUCCAACAGCCCAGGUCUCAAAAUCCCUGGAAGGAAUGCUUUCGCUCCCUCACUGCGAUGUGUCAUCUCCUAGGAAUAGCCGUAGUGGAAAAUGCCACACUGAUCUCUCACCUGAGGAGACAGACUCUUGCCUUGUACCCAUGGUUGACAGUGAAGAAACCACACAAGAGAGCUGUCAAUCAUGGGACGACUCACUGAGCAACACUGCACAUUGUCCUAGUGUAGCAGUUGAUGAUCAGGUGGUUGUUCAGGACAAAUGUAGCAUGAAAGAAGAACCACAAGAAGGACAAGGAGAUGUUACUGAUGUGGUAGACACGACAUGUAUUGAAGAAAUUGGCAAAAUAGAUUGUUCUGAAACAAUAUGCAACACACAAUCCAUCUCAGCAGAACUAUGCAGAGAUAGCCCGCAGCCAGAUAUGAUAGAGAAAGCAGAGCAAGGAAAAGAACCUGUUCAAAUCUUGUUGAGCUAUCCUGAGAGCAUUGUUGAAUUGGAGCAGCAAGAACCAGGAACACCUGAACCAAGAGCAUCGGCCAAAUUUAUCUCAGAUUGUUCCCCCGAGCUAAGCCAUGACAAGCAAGAACAGCCCAGUCCUGUGUCUGUUCUUGAUUCAUUCUAUGAAGAUGUUGCAGAUCCUGAAUGCGAAAACAUUAAACAAUGUGAUCUGCAUGAAGAGUUGCGUGGAGCCCUGUACUUCCCAGAUAACGAAUCAGAUCUAAAGGUCUUUUGGGAGGAGAAGAGCAUCCGGUUAGACUAUAUAAAGUUGGUUUUGGAGCUCUCAGAAUUAUGUGCUGAACAGAAUUUAGAGGUAUGGUAUCUGGAGGAUGAAUUAAUCAGCCCUUGCCUGUUGGAAGAACUACCGAAUCAAGGUGAUCAAAUAGACGAUCUGAAAAUUCUGUUUGACUGUAUCUGCGAAGCUCUAACAGAGAUCCAGGAGAGAUAUUUUAGGCUCUCUUCUUGGUUGUCGUUUCUCAAACACGACAUACGGGCACCUCCAAUGGGAGAAGACCUCGUCGCAGAAGUUGACAAAUAUGUCGAUGAUUACCUCCGACAUAGUUUUCCAAGUACAUUAGAUCAUACAAUAAAAAAGGAUUUCGAAGUUCGGACAUGGAUGGACAUUCGGUCGAAGACUGAAGGUAUCGUUGUGGAGAUAUGGGAGUUUGUGUUAGACGAACUUAUCGAUGAGGCUGUUUUCGAUUUGUGGAUUUGA
rnacentral:rRNA from 1 species